GAUGAUGUAACCGGUGUUGGCCGGUGAGAGUGUGUGUCUAGCGCCACAGCUUUGACGGGAUCCACUCACUGAGCACCGCCGGCCACCUCCUCCUGUCCCCUUGCUGGCUCGCGAUGCCUGACAGCUUCAGUGUGUAGUGGAGUUAGUGGCGGUGGGGCUGACAGCUUCAGUGUGUAGUGGAGUUUGUGGCGGUGGGGCUGACAGCUUCAGUGUGCAGUGGAGUUUGUGGCGGUGGGCUGACAGCUUCAGUGUGUAGUGGAGUUUGUGGCGGUGGGCUGACAGCUUCAGUGUGUAGUGGCGGUGCACCACAAGGCGGUGGGGGCUGACAGCUUCAGUGUGUAGUGGAGUUUGUGGCGGUACACCACAAGGCGGUGGGGCUGACAGCUUCAGUGUGUGGUAAAGAUUCUGGCGGUGCACCUCAAGGAGAGCUUCAGGCUUCAUUGAAGUUUAACGGAAACUUGCAUCACUCCUCAAGUGUCAGGAAUUUACGACCGCUGAACGGAGACAUCCAUCUGGUGUGAUGGCUGGACGCCGUGCACGGAGCCAGCUGGCCCGGGUCCUGGGUCUUGGGGUAGGUGUGGCCGGGGCAGCUGCCCUCGCUGCCUCAUACUACUACGACGAUGACCAGCACACAAAGCUAAAAAUGGUUUCUGUGACACAGCGUCAAUUUGUGCGUGUGACAGCAGCAGAAAGCCUCAAUGCAAGACCCACACACCCACUGCCAACACGGCAACUUCAGCUCAAGAGCUUAGGGUCAGAUUCAUUUGACGUUUUGAUUAUUGGAGGAGGCGCAACAGGGGCAGGUUGUGCCCUUGAUUCUGUCUCCAGGGGACUAAAAACAGCUCUGGUGGAGAUGGAUGAUUUUGCCUCGGGAACAUCUUCAAGGUCAACAAAGCUCAUUCAUGGUGGAGUUCGUUACCUGCAGAAAGCUAUUCUGGGUUUAGACUUUGAGCAAUACAAAAUGGUGAAAGAAGCUCUCCAUGAGAGAGCAAACUUGCUGGAUAUUGCUCCUCACUUAUCCUAUCCUCUGCCAAUUAUGCUGCCAGUGUAUAAGUGGUGGCAGCUUCCCUACUACUGGCUGGGCAUCAAGAUGUAUGAUUUAGUUGCAGGGAGUAAAUGUAUCAAAAGUUCAUAUGCUAUUAGUAAAGCUCGAGCAUUGGAAGUUUUUCCUAUGCUGAAGAAGGAUAGAUUGGUAGGAGCAAUUGUUUACUAUGAUGGUCAGCACAAUGAUGCUAGAAUGAAUCUCUCCAUAGCUCUUACAGCUACAAGGCUUGGUGCUACAAUUGCCAAUCACACGAGAGUUAUAGCACUCUUAAAAGAAAUAGAUGAAAGUGGUCAAGAACGUAUUUGUGGGGCAAGAGUCAAAGAUGAAUUAACUGGAAAAGAGCUGAGUGUUCGAGCAAAGUGUGUAAUCAACGCCACCGGACCUUUCACUGACACCAUCCGUAAAAUGGAAAACCAAGAAACAAAGGAAAUCUGUGCUCCUAGUAUGGGUGUCCAUAUAACUCUUCCCGACUAUUACUCACCAGAGCAGAUGGGACUGCUAGACCCAAACACAUCAGAUGGAAGGGUUAUCUUCUUCUUGCCAUGGGAGGGGCGCACUAUUGCAGGGACAACAGACACACCUUGCAGUGUCUCCCACACUCCCUCUCCUACUGAAGAUGAUAUCCAGUUUAUUCUUCGUGAAGUUAAGAACUACCUAAGUCCAGAUGUUGAGGUUCGUCGUGGAGACGUCUUGUCAGCAUGGGCUGGUAUCCGACCUCUGGUUCAAGACCCCAACAAAACAGAUACUCAGAGCAUUGCAAGAAAUCACAUUGUUCAUGUUAGUGAUAAUGGCCUGGUAACAGUUGCAGGGGGGAAAUGGACAACAUAUCGAUCAAUGGCAUUAGACACAAUGAAUGCAGCAAUUAAAGCUUGUAAUUUAACUCCCCUCCAUCAAGAAUCCCAGACAGAUGGUCUUCUUUUGGAAGGAGCUCAUCACUGGACUCCUACUAUGUUUAUCCGACUUGUACAAGACUUUGGUUUAGAAUCGGAAGUAGCAAAGCACCUCGCUCACACGUAUGGGGACAGAGCAUUCAGCGUGGCCAAGCUUGCAUCUUUAACUGGAAAGAGAUGGCCCAUUGUUGGACGUCGUCUUCAUAGUGAAUUCCCAUAUAUUGAUGCAGAGGUUCGAUAUGCAUGUCGUGAGUAUGCUACCUCAGCCAUUGAUGUCAUUGCCAGAAGACUUCGGCUAGCAUUUCUCAAUGCCCAAGCAGCAGAAGAAGCCUUGCCAACCAUUGUUAGCAUAAUGGCAGAAGAAUUGAAGUGGUCUGAAAGAGAAAAAAAAGAGUCAGCUAGAAGCUGCUGUGAAGUACCUACAGCAAGAGAUGGGCCAGAAUGUAAAUCGUGCAUCACGAGAGAGGAUCCCAAUCAAUCUCACUAAGAGUGAGAUCUCUGAGUAUGUGAAACGCUUCAACUCUCUUGACACUGACAAGAAAGGCUACAUUUCUCUUAAUGAUCUUCGUGCAUCGCUCAAGAGUGACGGAGAGAGGAUUAGUCUUGACCAUCUUCACUACAUUUUGAAUGAGGUUGAUGUCCACAAACAUGGUCAAGUUGAGUUUCCAGACUUUAUCCAG
rnacentral:misc_RNA from 1 species